GAUGAACGCUGACAGAAUGCUUAACACAUGCAAGUCAAACUGUGGCGGACGCGUGCGUAACGCGUAAAGAACUUACCCCACCGCUAGGGACAACAUAUGGAAACGAAUGCUAAUACCUAACACUGUGAGAGAUCUUUGCGUACCAUUAGCUAGUUGGAGAGGGAACGGCUCACCAAGGCGAUGCUGGGUAGCCGGCCUGGGAGGGUGGUCGGCGACAAGGGGACUGAGACACGGAGCAUACUGCUACGUGAGGCAGCGGUGGGGAAUAUUGGACAGUGGACCAAGGUCUGAACCAGGAACUCUGGGUUGACGAUUAAGUUUUCGGAAUGUAAAGUGGUAUCAGUUGUGAAGCGGUUCCAACAGGAGAAGUGACGGCUAAAUACGUGCCAGGAGCCGCGGUUAUUC
rnacentral:rRNA from 1 species